rnacentral:misc_RNA from 1 species
GAAGUCACCACCGGAUUUCUGCUAUUAACUUUCCCGGCGACGAUGCCCGACCAGAACCCAUAAACCCUAAAAUCAAUCUGCCCAAGGAGAUGGGGAGCAUUAAGCGAAUGCCCGAGAAUAUUUGGAGCUCAAUUCGGUCGGGCGUUAUCUUGUAUGAUUUCUCAAGGGUUGUUGAGGAGUUGGUUUUCAACAGCCUCGAUGCUGGUGCCACCAAGGCAUUGGGACCUGCUUCGUUAAGGUGGAUGACAAUAGAUCUGGC